AGUGAACGCUGGCGGUAGGCCUAACACAUGCAAGUCGAACGGCAGCACAGUAAGAGCUUGCUCUUACGGGUGGCGAGUGGCGGACGGGUGAGGAAUACAUCGGAAUCUACUUUUUCGUGGGGGAUAACGUAGGGAAACUUACGCUAAUACCGCAUACGACCUACGGGUGAAAGCAGGGGAUCUUCGGACCUUGCGCGAUUGAAUGAGCCGAUGUCGGAUUAGCUAGUUGGCGGGGUAAAGGCCCACCAAGGCGACGAUCCGUAGCUGGUCUGAGAGGAUGAUCAGGCACACUGGAACUGAGACACGGUCCAGACUCCUACGGGAGGCAGCAGUUGGGAAUAUUGGACAAUGGGCGCAAGCCUGAUCCAGCCAUACCGCGUGGGUGAAGAAGGCCUUCGGGUUGUAAAGCCCUUUUGUUGGGAAAGAAAAGCAGCAGGUUAAUACCCCGCUGUUCUGACGGUACCCAAAGAAUAAGCACCGGCUAACUUCGUG
rnacentral:rRNA from 1 species